AGGAAGCUAAACCGAUGAAGAGAAGCUAGUUGGAUUUACUUGAUUAAAUCUUUAUUUUUAUCAAGUGAAUCUCGCCCUUUAGUCCCUUGUAAAAUAUAACUAGCUUGGACGAACUGUUGUUGUCAAGCAGGAAUCCUCUAAAAUAAGUGAUAUUAUAUCAGUGGUAUUCCGGAGUGGAAACGUCCGGUGGAUGCCAGAGUGAAAGAGAAACAAUGAUGGUGUUUGAUCUGCCGACCCACUGAGCUCCCCGAGAUAAAACAUCUGAUGAAAAUUAACUGCAACGUUACAGAUUCUGGCAUGGAAGACAAGGCAAAUGGCUCUGCUGACACCAAAAG